GAGACAACGCCAGACGGUGAGCCAAAAAGGUGCGUGGGAGCAGUUCGUUCGUGAGGUGUCGCUGCCUCGCGAACGUCCGACUAGCGGACUGAUGGAGAAGUGCCGCGAUUUCAGUGGCAUGCAAGGUGUUGUCUUCAACAGUUAACUCACCGUUAAUGUGUGUUAAAACGUGUAUUAUGGACAAUACAAAACAGUUAGUUUACAGCCGGUGGCAUUUAGAGUAACUACCGAAAUAAGUGUGCCUCGGCUAAGCUAUUAGCGCGCGAAGCUAGCGCGCGUGCACUUUGGGUUGAGUCAGCUGGAGCGCUAACCGCCAGCUCGCACCUCCGUGGACGACGACCGAGGGGGAACCAGAUGGCGCACUGGGUGACCAGGUUAAACUCGGCUGCACCUCUGGCCACGAGGGGGGUGAGACAUUCUUCAUCUAGUGUCAAGGAUUGAUGAGAGGAUCCGCCCGGUCGCUUGCUCGAGGACGGGCUGGACUCGGAUGUUUAAAACACGUUGAGGCCGACUGAUUGCACUUGCGACUGAAUCCUCUGCAAUUAUCUUCACCAGUAACACCCGAGUAAAGCAACGACUGACUGACGGGUAACACAUGGCCAAACAAGCAAAUCCUGAGACAUCAGCUGGGGCGAGUUGCUGCUGUAUCCCACAGCAGCUAAUUUGGAAAGUCCACUCGAAGCUCCAAUUCAUGCAUAUACAUUAUGAAGAUAGCAUGAUAGUUGCAAUGAACUGUGCCUCGUUCUUUUGGUGCCAGAUUUCCAGUGAGUGCAUUAUCAGCCAAUACUGCGGGUAGAGAUAGACACCAGAAGACUUCUCUUUAGUGACCUGAAGAGCAUAUGUUUUUUUCCUUAGGAGACAGCACCUCAGAUUAAUCUGGGCGGAUGAGAAAAUUGGCAACAGUCCACUUAGACGUACCAAUAGAUCAAUGUAAUUAAUUCACCAGAGAAGAGAACCAAUUAGCAUCAUCAGAUCCUCUGCCACUUAAUUAAUUUUCCAAUACUUUCUGAAAUUUAUGUGAAGUGAAAAAUAUUCAACAGUCCAAGGUCUAGACACUCGUAAUUUUAGAUUUAUAUCAAUUUGCUCCACAGCUUUAGUUGAGAUAUCCACUGUACACACUGCAGGUAGACUUGAAUCACUGAAAGAGGAAAAAAACAUGCAGUCACAGCAUUGUGCUCUUUAAUGAUGAAGCAACUGUAAGCAACAACACAUAGACAGUACAUACGUUAAUGUAAAAAGGGGUAAGAACAAUAAAGUCUGUAUAGGAGCCGGUAGGGUAGAUAAAUCCUUUGUGGUGGAUUUUUUUGCUUCUUUUUUUGUGUUCAUGUUCAUGGCCUGGAAUAUUUUCCUGAUUUGAACCCUCUAUAACAUAUUCAUUGUUACCAUUUUGAGUGCUGCACAGAAACAAAAAGUCUUCAGAGGACUGGGAUUCACUGUCCUUAUGUGAUGAAUGGCAGUUCUAAUCUUCAUUUAAUACAGAUUUAGUUGUUGCAGAGGAGGGCACAAUGCUGAGCAAUCAUGGGUUGUCGAAUAGAAUCUUCAUCCUGAAAAUUGUGAGGCAAUGUAUUUACUGUAAUAUAUAUAUACCUUGUCUGUAGCAUCAGCAACAUACAUGAUGGUGGUUAAGAGUGUUCUUCUCUAACUCUCACAAGUCCUUUAAAGCAAAUGACCAAAUCAAUUGUUUACCCCUCUUAUAUACACACCGCGAUUUUCUGAUCUGACGCCCUUAUUGGUAGGAUGACAUCAUUUGUCUGAGCCUUCCACAACUACCAAAAUCACCGCCUAAAAAUGCAUUCAUGGUAUGAUAACACUGAUUUGGUUAGGUUUGGGUUAAAAUAUUAUGGUGUGCCCAUGGUCAUGUGGUGACAUGACUUAAUCCUUUGCUCCUGUCCCAAUUAUGGCUGCUAGAUGGCUUUGUCACGUGAAUAUAAAUGUAUGUUGGGGACACUUACAUUUAUAUUUAUAGUGUUGGGGACACUUGCAGCCUUACAUUCAGAUGUAGCCUGAGUACAAACCUGAUCUGGAUUCAGGGUAGGAUUUUCUGUUCAGCACAUACAGACAAAGUGAACUGUGUAAUAAAUGGAACGCAAUGAUUCAUUCAAGAAUCAAAAUUAUGUUGUUAUGCCUCAAAACAUGAUCAACAUGGCUAUAGUAUUGUUUCACAGUAAAUACCAUCCCGCACUCCUGCAAAUAAUGUGUGAUUGUUGAGGUCAGAAUUUGCAUGCAAACAGUUUUGAGGAAUCUGAAGGGAGCUGAUUCAUGGUCAGGACAGAAUGGAGAAUGGACAUGAGAUACAACAGAGAGUAAAUGGAGAAAUGUCAAGUUGGUAAUUUUACUUUCAAUUUUUAAUAGCUUCCUCUGUCUCGGUACAAAUUAGAAGUGAAAAGAUGCCAGGCUUUUAUUGACCAGUUGACAUUUAAACCAUUAGAGAAUUCGCUGCAUUAUCCAAUCAUCCCCUCUACAAACAAAUGUUGCCGUGCAAUUUUCAAAGCAAACUGCUCCCUCCCCCCCACUGUGCUGUCAGCCCUACCAAAUAUAAAGUGUUACUGCUGGUGACAUGCACACAGGGGCAAGGACAAACAUUUGAAUGAGGGCAAUUCAGUGUAAAUGCUGCUGGGUUUCAGGGGCAUGCAACACUAGGAUACAAUGCUGUGAAAUACUGUACUCUGAGUAUGGACAAUUUUCUUUUCAAAUAAGAGAUGGGAGAUUGUAAUAAGUUUAAGAUAAUUCUGAUUCUGCUGACGAUAAAAUUGAACUUUGCUUGUUCAGACAGACAAGAACAAGAUGAGCUUGAUGAUUUUCAAGUGUUGUAUUUAUGUUUUUCAUAUGUUUACCUUAUCUGCAUCUAGCGAGGUAAGAAAUAAGUCUUACAGUAUGCUUGUUUUCUUCCCUCCCUGAAUAAAAUCCUAAAAG